UACGUAGGGGGCUAGCGUUGUCCGGAAUCAUUGGGCGUAAAGAGCGUGUAGGCGGCCCGGUAAGUCCGCUGUAAAAGUCAAGGGCUCAACCUUUGAAUGUCAGUGGAUACUGCCGGGCUAGAGUCCGGAAGAGGCGAGUGGAACUCCUGGUGUAGCGGUGGAAUGCGCAGAUAUCAGGAAGAACACCAACGGCGAAGGCAGCUCGCUAGGACGGUACUGACGCUGAGACGCGAAAGCGUGGGGAGCGAACAGG
rnacentral:rRNA from 1 species